rnacentral:rRNA from 1 species
UGACUGGGGCGGUCUCCUCCCAAAGCUGUAACGGAGGAGCACCGAAGGUUAGCUAAUCCUGGUCCGGACGAUCAGGAGGUUAGCUGCAAUGGCAUAAGUGGUGGGUAGUUUGACUGGGGCGGUCUCCUCCCAAAGCUGUAACGGAGGAGCACCGAAGGUUAGCUAAUCCUGGUCCGGACGAUCAGGAGGUUAGCUGCAAUGGCAUAAGU